GGAAGGUGGGGGCAAUAACAGGUCUGUGAUGCCCUUAGAUGUCCUGGGCCGCACGCGCGCUACACUGACACACGCAGCGAGUCUUCCUUGUCCGAAAGGUCCGGGUAAUCUUGUAAAUGUGUGUCGUGAUAGGGAUAGAUUAUUGCAAUUAUUAAUCUUGAACGAGGAAUUCCUAGUAAAUGCGAGUCAUCAGCUCGCGUUGAUUACGUCCCUGCCCUUUGUACACACCGCCCGUCGCACCUACCGAUUGAAUGAUUCGGUGAAACUUUCGGACCGUGGACAGGACGCUCUCGGGCGACUUGACCGUGGGAAGUUAUUUAAACCUCAUCAUUUAGAGGAAGGUGAAGUCGUAACAAGGUUUCCGUAGGUGAACCUGCAGAAGGAUCAA
rnacentral:rRNA from 1 species